GAGACUUUCUUUAUAGUAGACAUUUAUCCUCCUGAAAUCCACUUGAGGAUUUUGGAAGCCAAAGUCAAGGCAUUGUAAACCUAGGAGCACCUCUGGUUGACACACCCCUAUCACGGUGCAGGUGGCCUGAGCUUUAGGAGCAGCCUGGAGCUUGAGUGAAUAAUGGACAGGGGAGAUGGUUUAUUCACAAUUCUAGGGAAGAAGGAAAUGAACAUUAUACAGAAACCAUUGGUAACAGAUGAAGAAAUGCGUGAAUUAUAUUCAUAGACAUAAGUUAAAUAUCUUAUCUUAGAGAUAAGAGGUGACAUAUAUUGUCAGGAACUGGAAUUGAUACACACAGGAUAACUCAGGGAGGAGACUCUUGGCGAGCAGUGUGUAGGGUAUAACUGGGACAUUGGUUGGCCUAGAAAACAUGUUUCAUUGUGCAGACAUGUCUCUUGGGCAGAAUAAGCCAGGCUUUGCUCCAGGCACAAACAUUAAAAAAAAUGAAAUGUGAAAUCAUUUCUAGAGAUUCAUUGUCUCCCCCAAGAGUUCUAAACCCAUUAUGGUCACAGCAUGCCUAAUUGGCGCUUUAGGGGGUAUAUUAAUAGCAAACAUUGUAAAGUUCUUAGAACUAUAUAAAGUCUUCCUUUCAAUUUUGUAAACAUAAUGUAUAACUUUACUGACCUCCUGAAUGAUAACAUUAACAGGGAAAAAUGCAGAGCAUAAUAAUACUUCUGUUAUCACUUAUUGAUAUCCCCUUGGCUUGCCAAUAGUCCCUGUUCCUGUGAUAAGAGGUAAAGGAAACAGAAGACAAAAAUAGGAUUGGUGAUGAGAAGUCAGGUGGCAAGGCCCUCCUUCUUUUCUUCUAAUACCUGUUGGUCUGUUUGUUUUCAGUACCAUGGUGCAGUUAUGAUGCCUUUUCUCUAGUGGUCACUGUUGAAAAGCUGUGUAGUUAGAACUGAACAUAUCUCUGGUGGGGGACAUAAAAUAAGUCCAAUUUUGAUUUUCCCAUCUAACUUUAGGAUUAAAGUUAGAUGGUCAUGUAAAAUUACUGUUAGGGAAUUAAACNUUUAGGGCUGCACUGGCAGCCUAUGGACGUUCCCAGGCUAGGGGUCUAAUUGGAGCUGUAGCCACCAGCCUAUGCCACAGCAACACCAGAUCUGAGCCAUAUCUGUGACCUACACCACAGCUUAUGGCAAUGCCAGAUCCUUAACCCACUGAGCGAGGCCAGGGAUUGAACCUGCGUCCUCAUGGAUGCCAGUCAGGUUCAUUAACUGCUGAGCCAUGAUCCUGGCUCUAUUUGCCUUACUAGAAACAUACAUCUGAGCAUACAUUUAUACAUCAAGCAUAAUUAUGAAUAAGUAAUAUAACUCUGUAAUAAAUAGAUGAUCAUAUAAAAUUAUAAAAUAUAUAAUAUGAAACUUCAUAAAUAAUUUAUAUUGUUCCUAUUGCAAAUGGGCUAAUUUCACAGCAUUCGACCUGAGAAAUAAACUAUAUUCAGGCAUGUGAGCUUGGUCUAGUGCACAUAGAUGUGUUUAUUCAGUUCAUCAGAGAUUAUAAAUUCUGAGUCUGUUUCAUCUUUCUAUCUCCCAAGUUCCCUAAAUAUUUAUUGAUGAAAUAAAUACUGGAUAAAUGAAUAAAUUAAUAAAUGAGCUGACUUUAGGAGUUCCCAUCAUGGCUCAGUGGAAACAAAUCUGGCUAGUACCCAUGAGGAUGCAGGUUCGAUCCUUGGCCUUGCUCAGUGGGUUAGGGAUCUGGCGUUGCCGUGAGCUGUGGUGUAGUUUGAAGAUGUGGCUCGGAUCUGGUGUUGCUGUGGCUGUGGUGUAGGCCAGUGGCUACAGCUUGGAUUCAAUCCCUAGCCUAGGAAUCUCCAUAUGCCAUGAGUGUAGCCCUAAAGAGGCAAAACAUACACACAUACACAAACCCAAACAAACAAACAAAAAAAAAAAACAAAUAGACUUUCAUUUUUUAAAUACCCCUUACAUUAAUGUACAAGAUUCUGUAUUUUUAACUUAAAAUGUUUUUUGUUAGAAUCUAACUAUGAAAUUGUAAUCACUUUUUAGAAGUGUUAGUUUCUCUCUAUGCUGCUUCUACUUUCUUGAUGUCUUCAUCAUUGAAAUUUUAAAAGAGAGAAAAAUCACUUUUCUGCUGUACCCAAGCACCUUUUGAAUAGGUGCCUUUUGAAUUCAGUUUACUGCCUGCUGGGCUCAUUUGCCAAGAUUCCUUUGAGGCACAACUCUUAGCUUUCUAAGUUUUGAAUUAAAAGGUAUUUCUCAGUUACCUCAAAUUAUGUCUCAGAUGAUCCAGCUGGCCAAACAAGGCUGGGAUGAGUGGUACGGGUCUCGUCUUCAUAAGAUGAAGGAUGCAAGCCACUAAUUUGGCCCCCCAAGGAUAGAGAAUGAAUAGAUCUUUAUCCUUUUACUCCACCCCUCACACUCCUGUUCACCUCUUUCAUGUCUUUUGAUUGAAGGAGACGGCUUCUGUUACUGUUCAAUGAGUGGAAAAAUGACUCCCCUGUGUGUGUCUGGGACUUUGUGUCUCGGGCGGGUGGGGUGGUGCUCACAUUGAUCACUCUGCAGAGGUGUGUUCGCUAGUCCAGCCAUUUUCCAAAUCAAACCAGGUCUCUCUGGGAGCCCUUUGUGAUCCGUUUAUUUACUCAUUAGGUUUCAUUUUAUUUUUGUUUUUUCCCCGACCAGACACUGUUCUUCUGACCCAUGAGAAGACCUGUGUUCCCCACUUAACAUGGUCUCUCCGAAGCACUCCUUUUCCUGUCCUGACUGUAAGAAUGAGCUACAUUUCCUUUUUCCAUGUCCCUGAUAGGCUGGUGCUAAGUUGCAUCCAUGGUGAAGAAAUUUUAAACAAGUCAAAAGAUGUGAGAUUCUGUCCAACUGUGAUUCUUGGAAUUCAGUAGUUAAGUUAUGGAACUAAAAUAGGCUUAAGAAUUUGGAGUGUAGGGCACUUGUUUGCCAAUUUAGAGUUUUUAGGUAGGAAAAGCGGCAAAUGGUUAUUUUUUUUCCUAUUUAUCAUCUGGCACUCAUUUUAUUACUAGCACUUAUUGUAAAUUACAGGGUUAAUGUAUUUAUUCAAACCUUUAAUAGUUCUGCUCCCUACCAAAUUUGUCUCUUAACUGCAUGGAAAAUAUUCUCCAUACCAAACUUAGGAGAAGUGUAUUUUAUUUCCCCUUAAAAUAUUUUUGGAAUUUGAGGCACUGAAUGGUUUGUGUUUCUGUAGGUACAUGAAUGCCAAUAUAUUUCCCAAUGAAGCAAAAUUGAAAAGACGUACAUACAGAAAUGCAUUGCAAGUAUGUGAGGGUAUCUAGGGGUAUAAUAUUGCUUCAUUUUUGAGAGCUCUGAUUAAACAGACACUUUCUGCAGCACUGACUUUGUACAGAUGGCAGGACUUAAACCAGAGAUGCUGAAAGGGCUCUCUGAAAUUAAGCCAAGAAAUGGAUCAAACUUUCUCCACUGAAAAUUUGGGCAAAUAAAAACACCUGAAAAUAUGUGCUAUUUUCAAGUAUAUGCAUAGUUGAUGUAUGUAGAUCUUUUACCCCUGUUUUUGGUCAUGGAAUUGUUUAUGCCAUACCUGCCAUACGCUUGUGAAGUCUUAAAAAUACAUGCCUAUUUAACAGAGAAAGUGGCUAGUUAUAGAGCAGUUUUUCCCUGCCUUGGCUGUUUAAAACUGCUUUGGACAACUCCUAUGCAAAUCUUUUAGAUGGUCUGAGGUUUUCCUGUUUUUCCCUGGUGAUCAUCUCUUUCCACCUUAACUCUGGUCCUCUCUUUUCCCCAACUAGUUCUUGCUUAAAAACAAAAUCCUCUGCUUUACAUCAUGUACAUGUCUACUAGAUCUCCAUAUUUUCUGCUCUAAGAUCUUCCCUAAAUAGUGGUUAUCAUGCAAAAUAAAAUAAACAGAAAUUUUACCCUUUCUGUAGUUCAGAACAUGCGGUUUUGCCCAAGGAACAGAUGAGCCCUCUCGUUCGUCCUCUUGACUGGGUGCAAAUACUUCCUUAUUCUUGCAUGACAUCUGAGGCUAGGGAGCCACCAGAUAGUGUGGGAGGAGAAUUCAACUAACCACCUCUUACAUGCCUUAGAGAAAAAAAAAGUAAAAUGAAAUUUUCAAAGAAGGGAAAAGUUAUUUUCUCCACAGGGGUCUGUUGAGCAUCUCCUCUAGAUGACUUAACAUCUGGGCAUAAACAUUGAUAAAUCAGGCAAAGUUUCUGCCUUCAAGAAGCUUACAUUCCAGUGAUGGGGAGAAAAACAAACAAAAUAAAAAUGAGCAAGAUUAGAAGCUAUGGAUCAGUAUGAGAAAGAAAAUGAAUACUUUCAUAAAAUGUGACAGUCUUAAAACAUGUAGGAUCUUAGAUUAUAUGUCAGAUGAGAUUUAUAAGAGAAGGUAUAACAGUUAUUUAUGUUGUGUAACAAAUUACCCCACAUCUAACAGCUUAAAAACUUUAAUUGUACACGUGCUUUUGGUGUAGGGAGAAACUGUUGAAAGGUUUUAAGCAAGAGAGUAACAAAAUGUCAUGAUGAUGUGUUGAACAAAAGUACUCUUGUAAAAACAGAAUUCGACCUGAAAAACUGUAACACUAAAGGGGAUGAGUUAGAUUAAGACUUUUGACUUUGACCUUUGAUAGUCAAACUCAUCAAAGAUGUGAUGUGCAAAUAUUUAGUCUACUCUGUUGAGUAAUAGAAUAGAAUUGAUCCAGGGAUUUCAAUGUGAAAUGGUGAGCUUCUUUGAAUCAGCCCUGGCCCCCAUUCUAUCAUCAAAAAGAGGCUCUACUUUUGACCUUGACCAUUUAUAGGAACUAAAAUCCACAGGGAAUUUCAAGCAGGAAUAUACCUAUUGAGGUAUUGUGUAUAAAAGUUUCAAAGGUCAAAUUGAAUUCUUGCUCAAGCAGUUGCGGCUUCUCCCUUUUGUUUGCCAGAUACAGUGUUCUUCACUCUAGUUUGUCCGGUUCCUUUCCCUGCUGUUAAAAGGCAGGGUUUAACUCAUUUUUAGAAAAUUGACUUCAGACAUAAAAGAAUAUCUCUUUCUUCUCUUGACAUCACACCCUAGCCUCUCAGCUCACUGGCCAGUGGUGAGUUUUGCCCUUUAUAAUGUGGUUCUAACCUCCAGAGAAAAUGCAGCCUUUUAUUUUAAAUGAGAUUAUUCUGCUCUGUUGCUCUGUGCAGGUGCUGAGAUUCUGGUCACGGUUCACUGACUUGGAGGAGGAAUGUAUUCAAUUUUUCUCUUAACUGCCUGCCAUACCCCUCAAAACAUUUUAGCAGUAAUGGAAUGUAGCAUGUAAAAAUGUUCUGGUUUCUGAUCCUAAUCAUGUACACAAAAUUAGCAUUUGCUCCAGCUCUAAUGGUUUGGUAUGACAUUCUUAUUUCAUCACUACUUACAUUUCUUUUUACUUUAGAACAGGAACAUUUGAAUUGCAUGUGGAGACUUACACAUAAUGUACCAGCUCCUUGAAUAUGAGUCUGCUAAACUUUGUGUGUCUUUAUUACUCAAAUAUUUCUAAGAGUUGAAAUAUAGCUGUGCUGUAGAGCUGAAAAUCCGUCUCUUGAUUCACUCUCCCACUGCACCCACACCCCACACCUAACUCCUCUGCUGGUAGUGACUGGUAAGUAUACUAUGUAUUCUGCUAUUUUCAGUCCUUUUUUUUUUCAUGUGAUUGCUCUGCCUGAAAUGUACUCUAACCUUACUUCUCUCAUGAAUUUAUACUUCUCUUUCAGUGUUCAAUACAAAUAUAACAUUCCCUGAGAAGCUUUCUCUGAUCCCUGUAAACAGAUCUAUCUCCACUUCCCACCAUAAACCCAUGCUAGGACAUUGAGGCCUCUGCAAAGACCAUGUAGUUCUAAGUAUCAUAACUGUAUAAUGAUAUAACUCAAUUCAUAGUCUUUGAUAUAUCAUAGGCUCAUCAAUAUUUAUCUUAACCAGUCUGCCCAAAACCAUUUAUAGUAAUCAAUGCAAAAUAUUUCACUGUUUCCAAGCAAAUAUGCUGUCUCCUUUGUUCAUCAGAAUCUUGUAACCAC
rnacentral:lncRNA from 1 species